CCUCCUUAUAUUGGCACACAUGGGAUCAUGUGUGCCCAUGUGUGUAAUCUAAAGGAGGAACAGCAAACUGUCAAUUUUAAAGCCUAAUCACAGAAAUUCUAUUCUGUGAGUCAAGCCUUAUCCUUUGACAGACAA
ensembl:snoRNA